rnacentral:lncRNA from 1 species
UGCAUGCCUUAAUGUAGCGUUCAGGAGGGAGAGAAGGUAGAGAGCUGUUGAAUUUGAAGCCAGCCUGCUCUACAUAGUGAAUUCCAGGACAGCGAGGGCUAUGUAGAAUAAAAUAAAACAAGGUUUGAAUUUAUACUGUAGGAAAUAAAAAGUCUUAGUAAACAUGGGCUUGUUUGGUUUUUCUAUUACCACCUCUUUCCCCUCCUCCACUUACUAAUGCAUCUUUACUGAAGUACGAGGUGUGAAGGGCUGAUAAUGACUCUGGAAAUGCUUCUCUUUGCAGCUUCGAGACUGUAUCCAAAAGACCUUGAAUGAAUGGAGCUCCCAAAUCAGCCCUGAUUUGGUCAGGGAGUUUCCAGAUGUUUUGGAAUGUACCAUGUCCCAUGCAGUGGAAAAGAUAAACCCUGAUGAAAGAGAAGAAAUGAAAGUUUCUGCUAAACUGUUCAUUGUAGGAUCGAAUUCUUCAUCAUCAACUAGAAAUGCAGUUGACAUGGCAUGCUCAGUCCUUGGAGUUGCACAGCUGGACUCUGUCAUCAUGGCUUCCCCUCCAAUUGAAGAUGGAGUUAAUCUUUCCUUGGAGCAUUUGCAGCCUUACUGGGAGGAAUUAGAAAACUUAGUUCAGAGCAAGAAGAUUGUUGCUAUAGGCACCUCGGAUCUAGACAAAACACAGUUGGAGCAGCUGUACCAGUGGGCACAGGUAAAACCCAAUAGUAAUCAAGUUAAUCUUGCCUCCUGCUGUGUGAUGCCACCAGAUUUGACUGCAUUUGCUAAACAGUUUGACAUACAGCUACUGACUCACAAUGACCCAAAAGAACUGCUCUCUGAGGCAAGUUUCCAGGAAGCUCUUCAAGAAAGCAUCCCUGACAUUGAAGCCCAGGAGUGGGUGCCACUGUGGCUGCUGAGGUAC